CUCUGAGGCUUCUCAUGAAGUGUCACAGUACAGACCUUUUGGUGUCAGGUCCAGCAGACUCUUUCAGCUUUGUGGGCCAGCUGAACUGCAAUAUAGAACUGAAUCAUGUCCUGGAAACUGGUUCUGUCCUGUCCUUUUCCUGUUAGUAUUCAGAUUUCAACAGGAGAUGCCUUAAGUCAUCCAGAAUGGAGUAGAAGCAAGAAAACCCAGAAGAUCUCAUGCAGUCCCAAUUCCACGGCAUUUCUCAAAGCCUAUUG
rnacentral:lncRNA from 1 species